UUGAACGCUGGCGGCAGGCCUAACACAUGCAAGUCGAACGGUAACAGGAAGAAGCUUGCUUCUUUGCUGACGAGUGGCGGACGGGUGAGUAAUGUCUGGGAAACUGCCUGAUGGAGGGGGAUAACUACUGGAAACGGUAGCUAAUACCGCAUAACGUCGCAAGACCAAAGAGGGGGACCUUCGGGCCUCUUGCCAUCGGAUGUGCCCAGAUGGGAUUAGCUUGUUGGUGGGGUAACGGCUCACCAAGGCGACGAUCCCUAGCUGGUCUGAGAGGAUGACCAGCCACACUGGAACUGAGACACGGUCCAGACUCCUACGGGAGGCAGCAGUGGGGAAUAUUGCACAAUGGGCGCAAGCCUGAUGCAGCCAUGCCGCGUGUAUGAAGAAGGCCUUCGGGUUGUAAAGUACUUUCAGCGGGGAGGAAGGGAGUAAAGUUAAUACCUUUACUCAUUGACGUUACCCGCAGAAGAAGCACCGGCUAACUCCGUGCCAGCAGCCGCGGUAAUACGGAGGGUGCAAGCGUUAAUCGGAAUUACUGGGCGUAAAGCGCACGCAGGCGGUUUGUUAAGUCAGAUGUGAAAUCCCCGGGCUCAACCUGGGAACUGCAUCUGAUACUGGCAAGCUUGAGUCUCGUAGAGGGGGGUAGAAUUCCAGGUGUAGCGGUGAAAUGCGUAGAGAUCUGGAGGAAUACCGGUGGCGAAGGCGGCCCCCUGGACGAAGACUGACGCUCAGGUGCGAAAGCGUGGGGAGCAAACAGGAUUAGAUACCCUGGUAGUCCACGCCGUAAACGAUGUCGACUUGGAGGUUGUGCCCUUGAGGCGUGGCUUCCGGAGCUAACGCGUUAAGUCGACCGCCUGGGGAGUACGGCCGCAAGGUUAAAACUCAAAUGAAUUGACGGGGGCCCGCACAAGCGGUGGAGCAUGUGGUUUAAUUCGAUGCAACGCGAAGAACCUUACCUGGUCUUGACAUCCACAGAACUUUCCAGAGAUGGAUUGGUGCCUUCGGGAACUGUGAGACAGGUGCUGCAUGGCUGUCGUCAGCUCGUGUUGUGAAAUGUUGGGUUAAGUCCCGCAACGAGCGCAACCCUUAUUGCCAGUUACUACGCAAGAGGACUCUGGCGAGACUGCCGUUGACAAAACGGAGGAAGGUGGGGAUGACGUCAAAUCAUCAUGCCCCUUAUGACCUGGGCUACACACGUGCUACAAUGGCGCAUACAAAGAGAAGCGACCUCGCGAGAGCAAGCGGACCUCAUAAAGUGCGUCGUAGUCCGGAUUGGAGUCUGCAACUCGACUCCAUGAAGUCGGAAUCGCUAGUAAUCGUGGAUCAGAAUGCCACGGUGAAUACGUUCCCGGGCCUUGUACACACCGCCCGUCACACCAUGGGAGUGGGUUGCAAAAGAAGUAGGUAGCUUAACCUUCGGGAGGGCGCUUACCACUUUGUGAUUCAUGACUGGGGUG
rnacentral:rRNA from 1 species